rnacentral:tRNA from 1 species
GCUGGCGUAGUUCAAAUGGCAGAACAACGGUCUUGUAAGCCGUGUGUUAUGGGUUCGACUCCCAUCGCCAGCU